rnacentral:tRNA from 1 species
GGCCUCGUAGCUCAGCUGGUGGAGCACUCGCGGUACUAAAGCUAGGGUGAUGGCCAUGAUGGGGUUCGAAUCCCGCCGGGGCCA